rnacentral:rRNA from 1 species
AUUGAACGCUGGCGGCAGGCUUAACACAUGCAAGUCGAGCGGGGGAAGGUAGCUUGCUACUGGACCUAGCGGCGGACGGGUGCGUAAUGCUUAGGAAUCUGCCUAUUAGUGGGGGACAACAUCUCGAAAGGGAUGCUAAUACCGCAUACGUCCUACGGGAGAAAGCAGGGGAUCUUCGGACCUUGCGCUAAUAGAUGAGCCUAAGUCGGAUUAGCUAGUUGGUGGGGUAAAGGCCUACCAAGGCGACGAUCUGUAGCGGGUCUGAGAGGAUGAUCCGCCACACUGGGACUGAGACACGGCCCAGACUCCUACGGGAGGCAGCAGUGGGGAAUAUUGGACAAUGGGGGGAACCCUGAUCCAGCCAUGCCGCGUGUGUGAAGAAGGCCUUAUGGUUGUAAAGCACUUUAAGCGAGGAGGAGGCUACUUUAGUUAAUACCUAGAGAUAGUGGACGUUACUCGCAGAAUAAGCACCGGCUAACUCUGUGCCAGCCGCCGCUGUAA